AGGCCGGCCGGUAAUACCGGCAGCGCACGARUGAUGGCCGAUCUUAUUGGGCCUAAAGCGUCCGUAGCUGGCCGCGCAAGUCCAUCGGGAAAUCCACCYGCUCAACRGGUGGGCGUCCGGUGGAAACUGYGUGGCUUGGGACCGGAAGGCGCGACGGGUACGUCCGGGGUAGGAGUGAAAUCCYGUAAUCCUGGACGGACCGCCGAUGGCGAAAGCACGUCGCGARAACGGAYCCGACAGUGAGGGACGAAAGCYAGGGUCUCGAACCGGAUUAGAUACCCGGGUAGUCCUAGCCGUAAACAAUGCCUGCUAGGUGUGGCACCCACUACGAGUGGGUGCUGUGCCGUAGGGAAGCCGCUAAGCARGCCGCCUGGGAAGUACGUCCGCAAGGAUGAAACUUAAAGGAAUUGGCGGGGGAGCACUACAACCGGAGGAGCCUGCGGUUUAAUUGGACUACCUCCCGGA
rnacentral:rRNA from 1 species